CUUUAUUUAACUAGGCAAGUCAGUUUAAGAACACAUUCUUAUUUUCACUGAUGGCCUAGGAAUGGUGGGUUAACUGCCUUGUUCAGGGGCAGAAUGACUUUUACCUUGUCAGCUCCGGGAUUCAAUCUUGCAACCUUAGUUAACUAGUCCAACGCUCUAACCACCUGCCUCUCAUUGCACUCCACGAGGAGCCUGCCUGUUACGCGAAUACAGUAAGAAGCCAAGAAACUGAGAGAGAUUGAGUCCUCCAGCUCUUCAGCUCCAACCAGUCAAUGGUGGGAAUAAUUCCAGUCCCGCCGAGGGUAUUAAAUAUUUUCCAGGACGUGCUAUAAAAAGAAUACAUUUCUCCCUUCCAACAUACACAAUGGCCCAGAGUGAAACAACUGCUGUCUCCGUGUGAGAAGAACAUGUGUAUGCUUCCUUUCUAAAUAAAUGGCCCUGCAUUAUAAUCAGUGGUCUGUACACCACAUCUAACGUUUUAUUUUUAUAAAAUCAUGGUCCUGGA
ensembl:lncRNA